rnacentral:sRNA from 1 species
CCAAAUCCAGUUUUCAUAUUUAAAGCGAAUGAGCCCCCUCCUCUCAGUGGGAAAGAUGAGCUGAAGCUUUACUCCCUCGAUAGUGUUGGGAAAAGAAAUCAGACAAAAAUCUAAGGAAGGACCAAAUAUUGUACAGAGUGUGCCAGUAGGCUUUUGCAACUGGACUGAAAAUACCUGCCUUUUCUCUCCACAGGGGAAAGUGGAAGUUGAAGCUGGGAAAGAAGGUAUGAAGUUUGAAGCAAGCGCCUUCUCAUACUAUGGCGUGAUGGCCCUGACAGCCUCUCCAGGUGAAAAUAAGUCCCCUCCUCGCCCAUGUGGCUUGAAUCACUCAGACUCUCUCAGUCGAAGCGACCGGAUUGACGCCGUCACACCAACACUGGGGAGCAGCAAUAACCAGCUCAAUUCUUCGCUCCUCCAAGUCUACAUCCCCGAUUACUCGGUGCGAGCCCUUUCGGAUCUGCAGUUUGUUAAGAUCUCAAGACAGCAAUACCAAAAUGCCUUGAUGGCAUCCCGGAUGGACAAAACCCCCCA